UACGACGGGUGCAAGCGUUACUCGGAAUUACUGGGCGUAAAGGGUUCGUAGGCGGCUUACUAAGUCAAACGUGAAAUCCCUCAGCUUAACUGGGGAACUGCGUCUGAUACUGGAAAGCUUGAGUGCAGGAGAGGAACGCGGAAUUCCAGGUGUAGCGGUGAAAUGCGUAGAUAUCUGGAGGAACACCGGUGGCGAAGGCGGCGUUCUGGACUGCAACUGACACUGAUGAACGAAAGCGUGGGGAGCAAACAGG
rnacentral:rRNA from 1 species